rnacentral:rRNA from 1 species
ACGUGCGGAAAGCCUAGGUCUUCGGAUCGAGGUGCGUUUAUUGGUGCAAAAUCAGUCAUUGAACUGUUGCUUACUCUGAAUAAUCAAGCAUAUCGUAUGGCCUCGUGCCGACGAAGUUUCUGUCAAGUAUCUGCCUUAUCAACUGUCGUUGGGAGUGUAGUGGACUCCCAUGGUUGUGACGGGUAACGGAGAAUCAGGGUUUGACUCCGGAGAGGGAGCCUUAGAAACGGCUACCAUGUCUAAGGAUAGCAGCAGGCGCGAAAAUUACCCAAUAUCAAAACGAUGAGGUAGUAACGAGAAAUAACGAGAUCGUUCUCUUUGAGGUCGAUCAUUGGAAUGAGUACAAUCCAGACACUUUAACGAGUAUCUACGAGAGGGCAAGUCUGGUGCCAGCAGCCGCGGUAAUUCCAGCUCUCGUAAGGUAUAGAAUUAUUGCUGUGGUUAAAAAGUUCGUAGUUGGAUUUGCAAGUUGGUGAAAGUCCACUCUAACGAGUGCGUACUCUUUGCCUUCAUUUUGUUGACAUGGGUGCAGGUCGGCUUCGGUUGGCUUGUGCUCGGUUAGCAGGAUUACUUUGAACGGCUCAAGUGCUUAAAGCACGUCUUAUGACUGAAUACCGGUGCAUGGAAUAAUGGAAAAAGGCUACGGCCGAGUUUUAUUGGUUUUAUCGGUUGAAGCAAUGGUUAAAAGGAACAACCGGGGGCAUUCGUAUCGCUACGCGAGAGGUGAAAUUCGUGGACCGUAGCGAGACGCCCAAAAGCGAAGGCACUUGCCAAGAGUGUUUUCAUUAAUCAAGAACGAAAGUCAGAGGUUCGAAGGCGAUUACAUACCGCCCU